AGAAUCAACGCUGGCGGCGUGCCUAACACAUGCAAGUCGAACGAGAAAGUGGGAGCAAUCCCAUGAGUAAAGUGGCGCACGGGUGAGUAACACGUGACUAACCUACCCUUGAGUGGGGGAUAACCUAGGGAACCUGGGCUAAUACCGCAUAAUACCUACGGGCCAAAGGAGCAAUUCGCUUUAGGAGGGGGUCGCGGCAGAUUAGUUAGUUGGCGGGGUAAUGGCCCACCAAGACAGUGAUCUGUA
rnacentral:rRNA from 1 species